rnacentral:rRNA from 1 species
GAUGAACGCUGGCGGCGUGCUUAACACAUGCCAGUCGAACGAGAAGUGAAGACGGAAACCUUCGGGCGGAAGGCUUUAUUUCGAGUGGCGGACGGGUGAGUAACGCGUGGGUAACCUGCCUCAUACAGGGGGAUAACAGUUGGAAACGACUGUUAAUACCGCAUAAGACCACAGCACCGCAUGGUGCGGGGGUAAAAACUCCGGUGGUAUGAGAUGGACCCGCGUUCGAUUAGCCAGUUGGCGGGGUAACGGCCCACCAAAGCGACGAUCGAUAGCCGAUCUGAGAGGAUGACCGGCCACAUUGGGACUGAGACACGGCCCAAACUCCUACGGGAGGCAGCAGUGGGGAAUAUUGCACAAUGGGGGAAACCCUGAUGCAGCGACGCCGCGUGAGUGAAGAAGUAUUUCGGGAUGUAAAGCUCUAUCAGCAGGGAAGAAAAUGACGGUACCUGAGUAAGAAGCCCCGGCUAACUACGUG